UAGGGAAUAUUGGACAAUGGGGGCAACCCUGAUCCAGCCAUGCCGCGUGAGUGAAGAAGGCCCUCGGGUUGUAAAGCUCUUUUGUCCGGAAAGAAAAGCAUUCGGUGAAUACCCGGAUGUUCUGACGGUACCGGAAGAAUAAGCACCGGCUAACUUCGUGCCAGCAGCCGCGGUAAUACGAAGGGUGCAAGCGUUACUCGGAAUUACUGGGCGUAAAGCGUGCGUAGGUGGUUGUUUAAGUCUGAUGUGAAAGCCCUGGGCUCAACCUGGGAAUGGCAUUGGAAACUGGGCAGCUAGAGUGCGGUAGAGGGCAGUGGAAUUCCCGGUGUAGCAGUGAAAUGCGUAGAGAUCGGGAGGAACAUCUGUGGCGAAGGCGACUGCCUGGACCAGCACUGACACUGAGGCACUAAAGCGUGGGGAGCAAACA
rnacentral:rRNA from 1 species